rnacentral:rRNA from 2 species
AUUGGAGGGCAAGUCUGGUGCCAGCAGCCGCGGUAAUUCCAGCUCCAAUAGCGUAUAUUAAAGUUGUUGCGGUUAAAAAGCUCGUAGUUCGAGUUCAGUUUCGGACUGGGGUGGGAGGUCACCGCCCGGUGCUUGCCCCCUAGGCUCCGAACAGCUUCCGUGAGUGGAAGCCAAGCCGGUUCUGGCGGGGUGCUCUUUACCGAGUGUCCCGUGCGGCCGGCCAGUUCACCUUGAAUAAAUGAGAGUGCUCAAAGCAGGCUACUCUGGAAUACAAUGCCGGAAUUUUCCUUGCAUGGAAUGAUGGAAGAUGAUCUCGGUUCCAUUUUGUUGGUGGUGGGAGCCCGAGGUAAUGAUAAAGAGGGACUGUCGGGGGCAUCCGUACUACGACGCGAGAGGUGAAAUUCAGUGACCGUCGUAGGACGAACAACAGCGAAAGCAUUUGCCAAGAAUGUCUUCGUUGAUCAAGAACGAAAGUUAGAGGAUCGAAGGCGAUCAGAUACCGCCCUAGUUCUAACCCUAAACGAUGCUGACUAGCAAUUCGCCGUCGUUAUUCCCAUGACGUGGCGAGACGCCCCCGGGAAACCUCAAGUUUUUGAGUUCCGGGGGUAGUAUGGUUGCAAAAGUGAAACUUAAAGGAAUUGACGGAAGGGCACCACCAGGAGUGGAGCCUGCG